GGCCCCGUAGUUCAACUGGAGUAGAAUGGCAGAUUCCGGAUCUGCCUUGGUUAGGUUCGAAUCUCUCGGGGUCA
rnacentral:tRNA from 1 species